UACGUAGGGGGCAAGCGUUGUCCGGAAUCAUUGGGCGUAAAGCGCGUGUAGGCGGUUCGGUAAGUCGACUGUGAAAGUCCAGGGCUCAACCCUGGGAUGCCGGUCGAUACUGCCGGACUAGAGUUCGGAAGAGGCGAGUGGAAUUCCCGGUGUAGCGGUGAAAUGCGCAGAUAUCGGGAGGAACACCAAUGGCGAAGGCAGCUCGCUGGGACGUUACUGACGCUGAGACGCGAAAGCGUGGGGAGCGAACAGG
rnacentral:rRNA from 1 species